GGAUGAACGCUGGCGGCGUGCUUGAUACAUGCAAGUCGAACGGAGAGUGUAGCAAUAUACUUUUAGUGGCGAACGGGUGAGUAACGCGUUGGUGACCUGCCCCGAAGCGAGGGAUAACAGUUCGAAAGAACUGCUAAUACCUCAUGUGAUCACCGGUUUUAGAAUCUGGUGAUUAAAGGUGAAAAUCACUUCGGGAGGGGCCUGCGUCCCAUCAGCUAGUUGGUAAGGUAAUGGCUUACCAAGGCGAUGACGGGUAGGGGACCUGAGAGGGUGGCCCCCCACAAUGGAACUGAAACACGGUCCAUACACCUACGGGUGGCAGCAGUAGGGAAUAUUGCAAAUGGGCGAAAGCCUGAUGUAGCAACGCCGCGUGUGCGAUGAAGGUCUUCGGAUUGUAAAGCACUUUUUGGAGGGAUGAGGAAGGACAGUACCUCCAGAAUAAGCCUCGGCUAACUACGUGCCAGCAGCCGCGGUAAUACGUAGGUGGCAAGCGUUAUCCGGAAUUAUUGGGCGUAAAGAGUGAGCAGGCGGCAGUUUAAGUUUGGAGUCAAAGCGAGGGGCUCAACCCCUUAACGCUCUGAAAACUGAACAGCUAGAGUGCGAGAGAGGUAAGUGGAAUUCCAUGUGUAGCGGUGAAAUGCGUAGAUAUAUGGAGGAACACCAGUGGCGAAGGCGACUUACUAGCUCGAUACUGACGCUCAGUCACGAAAGCGUGGGUAGCAAAUAGGAUUAGAUACCCUAGUAGUCCACGCUGUAAACGAUGAGAACUAAGUAUUGCCGUGAGGCAGUGCUGAAGCUAACGCAUUAAGUUCUCCGCCUGGGGAGUACGGUCGCAAGACUGAAACUUAAAGGAAUUGACGGGGCCCCGCACAAGCAGUGGAGCAUGUGGUUUAAUUCGACGCUACGCGAAGAACCUUACCAGGACUUGACAUGGAAUUAAAGACCCUAGAAAUAGGGGGAUAGUCAUAGUUCACACAGGUGGUGCAUGGUUGUCGUCAGCUCGUGUCGUGAGAUGUUAGGUUAAGUCCUGCAACGAGCGCAACCCUCGUCCUUAGUUACCAUCAUUAAGUUGGGGACUCUAAGGAGACUGCCGAUGUAAAUCGGAGGAAGGUGGGGAUGACGUCAAAUCAUCAUGCCCUUUACGUCCUGGGCGACACACGUGCUACAAUGGCCGGUACAGAGAGAAGCAAGACCGCGAGGUGGAGCUAAUCCCAUAAAGCCGGUCUCAGUUCAGAUUGAAGUCUGCAACUCGACUUCAUGAAGUCGGAAUUGCUAGUAAUCGCAGAUCAGCCAUGCUGCGGUGAAUACGUUCCCGGGGCU
rnacentral:rRNA from 1 species